AUUGGUAGAGGUGCAUUGAUUAUCAGUAGCUCUGCGGGCUGUGCCCGGAACAUAAUGAACCGCAGGGUGAAAGGAUGAGAUGCCGAAGCGCGCGGCAGGUUCGGAUGCCGCGGGCUGGGUGCAUGGUGAAGAAUCAUGCAACUGUCAUCAGAAUUUGAUGGAGCGCUACUUA
rnacentral:ncRNA from 1 species